GGAAAUGUGCCCGAGUCAGGGACUACCUUGAUAGAGUAGAUACGGAACUAAGCACUCCCACUUCCC
rnacentral:tRNA from 1 species